AGGUACCAUCAUGUCUUAAAUUGAGUAAGGCACUGAGAGAUCUACAUGGCUUGGCAGCUGUUCCUUCUGUCUCUCCAACUCAACCCACCUUACUGAGUUGCUCCUGUUUCUACUUCUGUUAGUGAAUGAGGGAUCAGUACUUUGCCCCCACAGUUUCUUCAGGAGUACCUUGUCCUAAAACAAAACCAAAUCUGGAAGGAGUAGAAUUUUCUGCUGGGACUUGGUAACAUUUCAUGGACAAGGAGGAUGUGACUCAUGCUGCUCAUGACUGCUGGAACCUAUAACCUCCUUUUCUCUUGGACUGAUACAAUGAUCUUCACUUUGAAAGAAGAAACAGAGACAUUUUUAACAGCAGAGAGACUUCACAAGUACUGGGAUGUUGAAAACCCAUCUCUGGCCCACCAGUGAAAAUAAUGACUCCUGCUAUUUUGGGUUCUGUGGAGCUAAGAUGAAGUAUCAAAAAAAGAUUCCGAUGUUUUCUGAUACCAUCGUGCUCCUUGGCAUAGGAGGGAUGAAUGGAACAGAAGCUCACAUGUGGAAGAUGACUGAUUUUUGUAGCAUUGCAGGCAGGAGCUGCCAGCAGGGAAGCUAAUACAUGAGGGGCUGAGGAGUGAGUGCUUGAGGAGGAAACCAUCUAGAUCUCUUAGACAGCUUAUUGCAUAAGCCAUAAGUACUUUUCUUCUGGACUCUGGACCUGAUGGUUUGCAGUCACAGUGUUGGAUGGACAGUUACUUGCUGCAGGAUCUUCCAGGAUUAAAAUCACAUCUUACAAGGCUAAGAACUCCAAAGGCUAUGGCGAGGAACUGGUAGCUUUAUCUCAAUGUAGACUGCGAUGGCUUUGUGUGCCUUUGAAAUUGCCACGCUCUUCAAAGAAAAAGGAAGUGCUUUAAGUGUUUUUCCUUCUCCUUCAGCCAGGAGCCGCGUUUUGGAAUGAACUCAAGUUUGAGUAAAGGGAGUGUUCAAAAUUUUAAAAUGUUGUGAUAAAUACUGCAUGACAUCGGUGUAAAACAGGUGCCCGCUGUACACAGGACUGUGCUUUGCUUUGUGUCAGAUCUCUUGAACAUCAGAAGUUUCAGAUCGUUCUGGAAUCGGUUUUAUAAAUGAGGGCUGGACGACUCAAAAGUGCAAAGCAUAAUGGCAAUAGAAAACUGCAUCUCAGGAGCUGAACUUACGUCUUUUUUCUUUCUCACCCCCUCAUUUUUAUCUACAUUUAUCAUUAUUACCUGCAUAGAGCAAUAACGUUUUGAAGAAAUGCCUGAUUUUUGAUGCCUCAGUUAUUUGAUGUCUUUUUUCAAGACAUUUUACAUUUCAGAGAGUGAGUCAGACACUUUAAACAUCCAGACUGGCUGCUUAUACCUUUUCUGAGCUGUAUUUUUUGUCUCUGGAUACAAAGUAAAUUCCUUUAAUGGAUUUAUUAUCAAGAAGAUUCAAAAAAGCAUUAGCUUCACUCUUCUACUCUCUUGACUGCAGUUUAGCAUCUCACUCUGUGGAGGGUUUGAAAGGCAUGGAAAAUAUAAAAGGACUCUGUGCCACAAUUAGGAAACGUGGAUUUCUCCCUCGCAGAAACUUCUGCUGUGGACUCUUCUCCAUCUUGUGUCUGAUGCAAAGGCUUAUGCCUGCCCUGUGAGCUACUGCUGGAGGAUUAAGGGAGGACUGAGAUCCCCCAUUGACACCUUUAGAGCUUGAGACCAGUGAACUCUUCCUGUCUUUCAUAAACUAUGCUCUGUGUGACUUCUGAAGGUGCUCUGGAUACAAAUUGAAACUGAGCUAAUUUGGAUUACCAUUACUGCAGCGUCUAUUAGACAGCAGGCGACGCAGUCUCUGCUAUUCAAAGGCGAAGUGCUACGCCUCAGUGUCUCCCCUCAAAUCACCUCUGUAGACCAAAGCUACACAUCUGUCCUUCUGCCAAGUCUACGAAGCUCAUAGUUUCAGAAAACCGAUGCGCUCCCAUCCACUGAAAGGAAAACUAAAAAAUUGGGAAGGAAAAAAGCAAAAAAAGUCUAUUUUACAAUAAUCGGUGAAGUCGAUCUGAGGGAAGAAAAAAAGAACUUUACUGCUUACAAAGGAAUUUCCCAGUGUGCUGAGUUAAAUGCAUUGCUAUUUUAAAGCAUUUUAGAUAAUGUAUAUCUUUGUGACACUACAGCGGCAGCUCAGUGAAAGAGCCUCUCAGCUAACCUUGGUAAGUACCUACUGCAUUCUGGUACCCCACUUCCAGUGCAGUUGAACCAAAUAUUCCCUUUAGAACAAAUUAGAGCACAAAACAUGUCAAGCCUUCCUCUAAAAGCCUUGGAAACUUAAACAGAAAGCCUGUUAUAUCUGUGGGCUGAAUUGCCAACAAAGAUGCUCUGUGCUUUUUGGUUUGCAGAGACGAAACAUUCAGAGUACUAUUAGGUCCUUUCCUAAUGCAUCGUAACAAGGAACUGAUCACUGCCACUCUUGUACAGCACCAAUUGUGAUAAAUACACAGAACUAAUUGCAAUGAAUAUGGAAUUCUGUAGGAAUCCC
ensembl:lncRNA